rnacentral:lncRNA from 1 species
UUCAAAUUCCAAUUUCCCUUAAAUUUCUUUAAUUUUUUGCGAACCGAACCCUUAAAAUUUUUAAGAAAUCUUUAAGUUCCGUUCCGUUCCCGCUCCUUAUGAAAUUUUAUCCCUUUCAUCAUUCCCACCCACCCCCAAAUUAAUGCACCUUAACCCUAAAUCUACGCCUUAUUUCACCCCACCCAACCCAAUUGUCUGUCUUCCUCGCCUUAUUUCUUCCAAAUCACAAUCUUUUUGUUCAGGCUGUCUAGAUCGUUGACCCACUACUACCAGAUCCCUCAAUGGCGACUUCUUGACAUUUGUAGAAAUUCGAUUUGGUCUUGUGGAAGGAUUGUAAUUUGGGAGGUUAUAGUUGCAUCUGCACGUCAUUUUAGUUGUUUCUGAAAUAAUAGUUCUAGUUGUUGCUCUUGAUCUGAGGAGGUAUGAAAUCAUAUUCUGGUUCUACGAUCGAUGCUUGGAUGGUGUGUUAAAAUGAUUGGUUUUUUCAUGUCAACAUUUUUGGGCCAAAAGUUGGAACUCUUAGAUUUCAUCACAACAACCACAAACUUGCAACAUGGUUCAAGAUACAGCUCUAGCUUUAUUAAGAAAUGAAUUCAAGAUGUUAAAGUUUUACACAUUUAUUCCUUUAUAAUUGUAGAACUUGUUUAUACUUUAAAGAAAUAUAUACCUUUGUGUUUGUAAAAUUUGUUGGUUUUAUUUG